rnacentral:rRNA from 1 species
ACUACGGGUGGCAGCAGUGGGGAAUAUUGCACAAUGGGGGAAACCCUGAUGCAGCGACGCCGCGUGAGUGAAGAAGGAAUUCGUUAUGUAAAGCUCUAUCAGCAGGGAAGAAAAUGACGGUACCUGACUAAGAAGCCCCGGCUAACUACGAGCCAGCAGCCGCGGUAAUACGGAGGGGGCAAGCGUUAUCCGGAUUUACUGGGUGUAAAGGGAGCGUAGGCGGUUUCGCAAGUCAGAAGUGAAAGCCAGGGGCUCAACUCCGGGACUGCUUGUGAAACUGUUGAACUAGAUUGCAGGAGAGGUAAGUGGCAUUCCUAGUGUAGCGGUGAAAUGCGUAGAUAUUAGGAGGAACACCAGUGGCGAAGGCGGCUUACUGGACUGUAACUGACGCUGAGGCUCGAAAGCGUGGGUAGCAAACAGGAUUAGAUACCCUUGUAGUC